GAAUGAAGGAAGCAAGUGUAAUGAGCACAGAAUUUUAGUCGGGUCUCUAGGCUUGCCCUCUCUGAUGCCUUCCGGCUUUGAUUUUUGGGCAUGGCUCCAAGCAUAACAU